GUGUCAGCCGCCGCGGUAAUACCAGCUCCGCGAGUGGUCGGGACGAUUAUUGGGCCUAAAGCGUCCGUAGCCGGCCUAUCAAGUCUCUGGUUAAACCUCAAGGCUCAACCUUGAGAUCGCUGGAGAUACUGUUAGGCUAGGGGGCGGGAGAGGUUGAGGGUACUUCGCGGGUAGGGGCGAAAUCCUAUAAUCCGCGAAGGACCACCAGUGGCGAAGGCGCUCAACUGGAACGCGCCCGACGGUGAGGGACGAAAGCCAGGGGAGCAAAGGGGAUUAGAUACCCCCGUAGUCCUGGCUGUAAACGAUGCGGGCUAGGUGUUGGGUUGGCUUCGUGCCAACCCGGUGCCGCAGUGAAGACGAUAAGCCCGCCGCCUGGGAAGUACGGCUGCAAGGCUGAA
rnacentral:rRNA from 1 species